GACAGAGGGUGCAAACGUUGUUCGGAAUUACUGGGCGUAAAGCGAGUGUAGGCGGUCCGAUAAGUCGGGUGUGAAAGCCCUGGGCUCAACCCAGGAAGUGCACUCGAAACUGCCGGGCUAGAGUAUCGGAGAGGUUGGUGGAAUUCUCGGUGUAGAGGUGAAAUUCGUAGAUAUCGGGAGGAACACCGGUGGCGAAGGCGGCGACCUGGGUCGACACUGACGCCGAGGCGCGAAAGCGUGGGGAGCAAACAGG
rnacentral:rRNA from 1 species